GUCUUUUUGAUUUAAAUAUAAAGUAUAACCUGCCCAUUGAAAUUUUAAAAGGCUGCGGUAUAUUGACCGUACAAAGGUAGCAUAAUCAUUAGUUUUUUAAUUGGAAACUCGUAUGAAUGGUUGAAUGAGGAAUAAACUUUUUUAAUAGAAAAAUUGAAUUUUACAUUUUAAUUAAAAGGUUAAAAUAUAUUUAAAAGACGAGAAGACCCUAUAGAGUUUUAUAAUUUAUAUUUAAUGUUAAAAAAAAUUAAUAAAUAUUUUUAUUUAAAUAAUUAUUUUGUUGGGGUGAUGAUAAAAUUUAAUUAACUUUUAUUUUUUUUUUACAUUAAUAAAUGAAUAAUUGAUCCACUAAUAGUGAUUAAAAAAUUAAAUUACCUUAGGGAUAACAGCGUAAUUUUUUUUUUAAGUUCAUAUUAAUAAAAAAUUUUGCGACCUCGAUGUUGGAUUAAGAUUUAAUUUUAGGUGCAGAAGUUUAAAAUUUAAGUCUGUUCGACUUUUAAAUUCUU
rnacentral:rRNA from 1 species